UCAAUGUGAACUGGAAGUUCAAAAGAUAAUUCAUUUGCAAAGUAUUGCAAAUCAACUUCUAGAUGCAUUUACCAACCUACCAAGGGUUACUAAAUCUCAUAUUUCAGUUGCAAAUGCUCUAAUUCGAGUUGAUGCCCCGUAGGACAAUUGUUAAAGCAAUAUGAGUCUAAGCCACACUUAAAACGUGACAGGCUAAUUGGUUCUAAAGAUAAAAAUCCUCGAAAAAAGAAAGAAAAAAUGAGCAAGAUGGUCAUAAUAUGGGGGUAAUUGCUCAAGAAGAGCCCCGAGACAUAACAAUUGAUAAAACCUCGAAAGAGGUCAAGGUACCUGGAAAUAAUAAAAAUGAAGAGAUCUCAAUAAAUUAUGUCUCAACUGUAAAAAGAUGGAACCAAAAUGAUAUUGUUGUUGAUAACAUUUUUGCUUAUGAAUAUUGCUGCUGAAAUAAUGCAACAAGAUGAUAAUCUCGAACCAAAAUCUAUCGAUGAAUGUAGGCAGAGAAAUUAUUGGCAAAAAUGAAAAACACUAUCCAACUAGAGUUGACUUCACUUAAAAACGUGAAAUAUUUGGACCUAUAGCCCAAACACUUAAAGGUGUAAAGCCAGUGGGGUAUAAAUAGAUUUUUGUGCGAAAAAGAAAUGAAAAAAAUGAGGUUGUAAUAUAUAAAGCACGACAUGUAGCACAAGAAUGUUCGCAACAGCCUGGCAUUAAUUAUAUGAAGACAUAUUCUCCUAUGGUGGAUGCAAUCACAUUCGGGUGUCUUAUCAGUCUAGCAAUUCAUGAAAAACUUGAUAUGCGUCUUAUGGAUGUUGUCACGGCUAAUUUAUAUGGCUCACAGGACAACAAAUUUUUAUGAAAAUCCCUGAAGGAUUCAAAGUACCUGAAAUAUACAAAGAUUCAAGGGAAACUUGUUCGAUAAAGCUUCAGAAAUCCUUGUAUGGAUUGAAGCAAUCAGGGCGCAUGUGGUAUAAUCGCCUCAGCGAAUACCUAUUGAAAGAAGGGUACAAGAAUGACCCAAUUUGUCCUUGUGUCUUUAUAAAAGUAUUUGGAUCUGAAUUUGUCAUAAUAGAUGUGUGUGUUGAUGGCUUGAAUAUCAUUGGAACUCCUGAAGAGCUUCCAAAGGCAGUAGAAUGCUUGAAGAAAGAAUUUGAAAUGACAGAUCUUGGAAAGACUAAAUUUUGUCUAAGCUUACAAAUUGAGCAUUUGAAAAAUAGAGUAUUUGUUCAUCAAUCAACGUACACCGAAAAUAUUUUGAAGCAUUUUUAUAUGAAUAAAGCACAUCCAUUAAGUACCCCGAUGGUUGUGAGAUCGCUUAAUAUAAAUAAAGAUCCAUUUCGUCCUCAUAAAAAUAAUGAAUAGCUUCUAGGUACUGAAAUACCAUAUCUUAGUACAAUUGGAGAAUUAAUGUACCUUGCUAAUAAUUCUACACCAGAUAUAGAUUUUUCUGUAAGCUUGUUAGCAAUAUUUAGUUCUUCUCCAACACAAAGACACUAGAAUAGUAUUAAGCAUCUAUUCAGACAUCUGCGAGGGACCAUUGAUAUGAGAUUAUUUUAUUCAAAAGAAUCUAGAUCACAACUGAUAGGUUAUGCAGAUGCAGGAUUUUGUUUGACCCACAUAAAGAUCGACUCAAACAGGCUAUUUAUUUACAUGUGGUGGCACUGCCAUAUCAUGGCGUUCAACAAAACAAAUUGUGGUUGCCACUUCUUAAAAUCAUGCAGAGAUAACAGCCAUUCAUGAAGCGAGUCGAGAAUGUGUUUGGUUGAAAUCAAUAACUCAACAUAUGUAGGAGCUAUGUGGUUUUUCACGGGGAAAUGAUAUCCCAAUAACAUUAUAUGAAGACAAUACUGCAUGUAUAGCUCAACUAAAAAGGGGAUAUAUUAAAGGAGAUAGAACAAAGCAUAUUUCACAAAAAAAAAUUCACGCAUGAUCUUCAAAAGAAUGGUAAAUUAGAUGUUCAACAAAUUCGUUCAACUGAUAAUUUGGUAGAUUUGUUCACUAAGGCAUUGCCGACAUUAAUGUUUGAGAAGUUAAGAAACACGAUUGGAAUGCGUCGUCUCCGAGAUACCAAAUAAGAUUUUUUCAUCAGGGGGAGAAAUACGCGUAGUACUCUUUCUCCCUUAAUCAAGGUUUUGUCCUAUUUGGAUUUUUCUGGUGAGGUUUGUAAUGAGGCAACUCUUAAAGCGUAUUACAAGAUAUGUGAACUCUUUUUCCUUCACUAAAAUUUUUUCCACUGGAUUUUUCUUAGUAAGGUUUUAAUAAGGUACAUUAUCUGUUAGUGGACAUCCAAGGAGGAGUGUUAUAAAUCUUGCAAAUGGUUUCAUCCACUUACGACGAUGGAUGUCUUCCAUAACAUGUUUUAGAUUGGUUAUGUAUCCAAAACAUAUUUUUAAUUGAUUGUGUAUUCAUAAAGGUUUCGGAUUGGUUUUGUAAUAACGAAAUAUUUCUAUAAAUAGGUUCAUUGAUGAACCUAUUCCAUACUCUCUGAAACAAAGAAAUAAAUCCUCUCUUCUAUUAUUGGUAUUCUGUUCUAUUAUAGUCCUAGUUAAUUAUAUAAUUCUUGCUAUAUUACUUUUAUUUAUAACAUUUAGAAUUUUUUUCAAUGUACUGAAUCUGGAUUAUUGACAUUUUUUAUUGUUUGUUGUAAGGUGAGGUGGUUCUAAUAACUUCACAUACAUUUGCAUGGCGUGAUAUAGCUGGCAGAUAACAGUUUGCAAGAUGACAAUUCAUUUCUCACAAUAGUGCAAAUUAUUUAUUCUGCUUCUAAUACCUGAAAUUCCAUAAUAACAAUUUAAAAAAUAUCUAAUCCAGCAAUAACCCCCUUAUAGAAAAAAAGCUGUGGGGAAGUCGAAGUGUCGAACGUGAUUAUUGUAAGAGGGAAAAGACCUGCUGUUAGACUAUAAUUCAGAAACUUAUGACUCACUACGAUUUUUGUAUUAGUAGCAUUUAGCUGUGUCCCACAUGUUAUAUUAAUCCAUCUUCAAAAGUGGAUAUAUAAAAGAAGAUCAUACUUCUAAUUUCAUGAUUUACUAAUUAUUGGUCAUUGCAGUUCAUUGUGUCAAACAAAUUUGAAUUCAUUGUUGGGUAUGGUUACUAUUGAUUUUACUAAAAAGGUUCUUUAUUGUUAUUGCUCAAAUCCAAAACCUCUAAUUAAGACUGGAAAAUCUCAAUCAUUGCAUUACACCUUGGUGAUAAAUAUUAAUAGAAUUUGGAUGAAUCAAUUAGGUUUUCAUUUUAAUUAUUUUUCUACAUUCUAUACUUGGAUUGUUUGACUUUCCUACAAUUUAUAUCAACUUAUACUCAUAGUAACUUACAUUUAUUAAAUAUUUAAAUUAGUUUUUUUUUUUUUAAAGAAAAGGAACGGAAGAAAGAGAAGAUAUGUAGAACAUGAUAGUUGGAAAAUAAGAAAUACGAACUAUUUGACCAAAAAAGUAUAAAAUCUUUUAUUAAACUAAUUAAUAGGAAAAAAAAGAUAAAUCUUAGCCCAACAUAAUUAACUCUAGAUCCAAAAAUAUUGAAUAUGAAAAUCGAAGAGGCCAAGCCUCUAUAACAUUCCUUAAGAUGAUUAAUAAGCAUCAAAUGUAAAUGAUAAUCUUACAUAUUUGAUAUAUUUGUUCCAUAUUUGUAAGAGCAAAAAAGAAAGUUGUUAAUAACUAUGAGAUAUAUCUUUGUUGAUUCAACAAUGACGAUUACAAAGGUUUGUAACCAAAAUCUAGACUGUUGGUUUGUUGUUGUGGAUCUCCUCUUAUUCUCAUCUUUGAUACAUUGCUCCUCUCUUUUCUUGGAUGAGAGCCCCUCCCCUCCCCUCCUCUUUAUUGCCUUCUCUCCUUUUAUAUAUAUAUAUAUAUAUAUAUAUAUAUAUAUAUAGAGAGAGAGAGAGAGAGACAACCUUCCUUUUUAAUGGUAACCCACUUGUGGUCAGAUUUUUACCCAUACAGUUAGUCCCUCCACUCUUUGGGUCGCCUCUAGGCGAACUCGAUGGGCAGACUCUUUUAAUUCAAAUAUUAGGAGAAAUCUGAACAUUAUGCGAGGAACGAGAUCCUUAUGGCGAGGUAGCGACGUGAAGCUUGAAGGAUUUUGUUUGACCGUUACGUCAGUUUAGAGCUGGACAGUUGCACCAAUUUAUGAUAUCAUAAAUGCCUAUUAUGCAUUAUCAUGGAGCACGUUUCCCAAGCGCGUAUCAUUUUUGUGCCCCUUCGUGUUCUGAUUGGCGGAUUUUGGUUUCCUGCUCAAGGCUUUUAUGAUUGUAUAGAUAAUGAGAAACCCUCUAUUUGGUUGUGGUUCUCUUAAAUUAUUCAAGAACUUUGCAAAUUUCUUUCCCCCUCUAUAGCUUUUCAUUCUCUAGCUUCCGCUAGAACUUACCAUGAUUAUUACCCUUUUUCCUUUUGUCAUUCUUGUUUACUUCGAUCAAAGAAGACAAAUGGCUAGUACUUUUUGCCAUAUUAAUAAAGAUGUUGAAGCUCCGGUGCCAGAAAGUGACGUGUCUCUUCUCGAAGAGGGAGUGGAGGUGGUGGAAGACGAUAGGUUUCCGACGGUGGAUGAGACAGUACCCCGCCCAGGGAAGAUGAGGACCGAUUUUAAUAGCCCUGGCAGAAAUGAACCGGAGCUCGUCCAUUCCACUAUAGAUGAAGCGAAAAUUUUAGCUCUUAAGGCCAAGUGGGGAAUCCCGGUCCAUAUCAAAAUGGUACCGACAAUAGGGAAGGAUAUUGUACAUUUACACCGUCCGGGAUACUGCAUGUUCUACGUGUAUCCAUUUGUUAUCAGGUAUAUGCUCCCUCUUUCCUCUCUGGUGGUGGACUUCUGCCAAUAUUACAAAGUGCACCGGGGUCAACUCUCCCCAUAUACGUACAAACUCUUUCUUAUGCUCAUCAAGUACGCGGAGCUGGCCGGACGAGGAAUUUCCCUGGGGAACAUGCUUUAUAUGUUUGCCCCUCUUUUUCUUCGGGGCACAAUGAUCCAUAUACGCUAUUGAGGAACCAAAGGUUUGGUGGUGAAGAUGGACGACAAUGCAAAUCGUAGCUUUUGGGAAAACUACUUCUAUGUGUGGAUAAAACACCUCAUAGUGAACUCGACAUGAUUUCCAGAAAAGUGGAACUUUGCUCGUAAGUUUUCCUUUGUUUACUUUGUAAUUUUCUUAAGAUGGUCGUCUAUCGUCUUCCUUUAAGAGACAUCGCUGAGUACUUGUUCUGCCUUUGCAGUUGAGAGAUUACUUCCCCCGCUGGUUGCCGACAUCCGCGAGUAGGUGAGUGCAAUUCUCCCCCAUAUGGUGGGAAUUCGCGAGUGGGCGCCCUUCCAUGAGAAGUUUGGGUGCAAGCCUCUUAAUGUGAGUUAGCUUGUAGUUUUAAUUUGUUUCCCUCUUCGUAGUUUUUUAUUAUUUUAAACUUUGUUAUUGUACGAUAUAAUCCCUUCUUUUUGACAGGUCAGGGAGGAAUGAGGAGGACAAGGGCUCCUCUGCUUGCAUUCCGUCAACCGGCGCCCUCUACCCGUCCUGCACCGAGGGCUAGUGCCCUGCUAGCACCAAGAACUAUCGUUCAGCCUGCACAUGCGGCCGAAAAUGUGUGCUUGGAGGUUACUCAAUCGAAGAUUUUGACUCCGCACUCUGUUCCACGAGCAGCUUAAAGCAUGUACCAAUACCUAGUCUACUAGGGAGGAGUUGGAGAAAGGGGGCGAGGACCUGAUGCGGUCUAUCCCCAGAUGCAGUGAGCUUGAGGAAAUUCUUCAUGCCAAGAAUGAAGAGCUUGAGUUGGGAAAUAGGGUUGUCGCGGGAUGUAAGGAUCUUCAAGCGAAGGUGUUGUCUUUGCAAGCCGAACUUGAGCAGAAUGCCACCAGAGUCAAAGCUUUGAAAGCUUAAUGGAUGGGGAAGUUGGUCGAGCCGGAGAAGAAAGUAACCGAGAUGAAAGUGCUGAAAAUGCUCAGGCAUUAGCUUUGGCGAGAGCGGGAGUGCUAAAGGACACUAUUCGCAUCCUCAAAUAUAAUCAGGAAUCUGAAAGAGCAACAACUACGCUGAGGAAGGCACGGCUCAAGGAGCGUAUUGGUGAAAUUGACCAAGAUGCUUCAAGCCUAGGAUCCCGGUUUGUGGCAGUCGAGGCCAAAAGGCACAAUUGUUGAGCCUGGUCGGAUCUGCCUUUGCCGUGGUCCAUAGCGGCUUGUAUGAGCUAUGGGUCCACACCGAGGCCCCACAGGACAUAUUCAAGGGUUUGUAGGAGGCAGGGAGUGUUCUAGAGGCCGCCUUCGAAGAUGCUUGGGUGAAGGCAUGUGAGGCUCGUACCGCCUGUGAUUACAACUGUGCGACGUCGGAGGCUGGUAAUGGUGUUGAUGCCGAAGAUGGGCUCCUUUCUGAGGAUGGUGAGGUUGGGGAGAACGGCGGUGGGGAUGAUGUCGAGUGAAACUUUGUUGCAACCUUUGUACUUAGUUUUUUUGGUUCUUUUGUUGUUUAUUUUCAUCUUUUUCUUUUGAGGGCUUGUUUUGGCCUCUUGUAAGGUGCAACUGUUGCGCAUGUAUAUUUAAACGAAACAGUUUCUUCGCUUUGUUUAUCUUUUGAUUUCUUUUUCUUUCGCUCCAGUCUGUUAUAUUUCUCUUUUUUGCAUAGACCUUCAUAUUUCUCUGUGAUGAGUCCCUGAUAUUUUUAAUUGGGAAACGACCUUGCCUGGAUUGAGUAAGAUCUUAUCAUACGAGUUAGAAUGAAGCCACUUCGGGAUCUGCAAGUUUGGGCGAGGUUGUUUUUUGAUUUAUCAAGUUGGGCGGGAUUAUCCUUAACUCAGACGAGGUCAAAUUGAGACUCGCCAUCUUAGACGAGGUCAGAUUUGACUAAUACAUUCGAGCGAGAUCGAUUCCAUACUUACCAAUUUAGGCAAAAUUAAUUUUUCUAUACGUAUUCGAGCGAGGUCAAACUCGAAGUUGCUAUCUUGGGCGAACGUUUCUCAUACAUUCGAAUGAGGUCGAAUGUGGAGUUUCCGUCUUGGGUGAAGUCAAUUUCUGACUUAUGUUUGAAUGAGGACGAGCUUGGAAUUGCCAUUUUAGGCAAAGACAAUUUUCGUCAUAUAUUCGAAUGAGGUAGGAAUUUUCUUUUAUUUGACGGGGGUCGGUAACUGUAAAGGUGUUAACUCGAACGAAGUCAAAUUAUAACUUAUUUACCUAUGGCCAUUGGCUGUAGCGGUGUUAUUUUGAGCAAGGUCAAAAUUGUAAUCAAGUUGUACGAGCAAGGUCAAACUUCUCUUUUGGGCGAUGGCCGAUAGUCGUAGGGGUGUUAUAUCGAGCAAAGUCAAAAUUGUAACCCGUUGUAAUUCAAAUGAGGUCGAAUUUCUCUUUUGGAAAAGGUCGAUGGCCAUAGGGGUGUUAUUUCAAUCAAGGUUAACAUUGCAACCCAUUGUAAUUCAAGCGAGGUUGAAUUUCUCUUUUGGCGAUGGCUGAUGACCGUAUGGGUGUUAUUUCGAGCAAGGUCAAAAUUGUAACCGUUGUAUUAUUUUUAUUGGAGAACGUUAGUCAUCGCUGUAUUGUUUACACGAGCAUCAAUUGGGGCAAGUCCCGGUUUGCUUAACUUCGCUUUUGUUGGAAAAUACUGUGUUUUUCCUAGGUGAAUCCCAGUUUGCUUAAUUUGCUUUUAUUGGAGAAUACUGUAUUUUUUCCGGGUGAGUCCUUGUUUGCUUAAUUUCCCUUUCAGUGGAUAAUACUGUGCGUUUCCUGUUCUAAACUAACAAGAGAUGGUGGUAAGUUAAUACUAAACGAAAUUGCAUAUUACCUUGACCCGGCAAGUCGGCCAAAAGAGGAACAACGUUGUAAGGUCGCUCGCUUUGCCUCGUACUUGAAUGAUGAUUUCAUAUUUGGCAGUCAACUCCGCACGUUGGGAUAUCGAGACCGAUUCCCGAUCUGACCCCGUCCGAUAUGCACAAACAAUAAGGGAAACAUGUUAGCUUUCUUAAUAAAUCAUCCAGUGCGUGUGGAUAUAAAAAUAGGUCAGGAUAUGCCUGAUGUUCCAAAGGAUCACACAGUAGGUUAUCGUCCCUUCCUAAGGGGUAGGGGUACGGGUCAGUAUAAGGUGAGUAUGUCAAAUAGGGUUGCGGUCAUGCUAGGCGCAUGGUGACCGUGAUCCUACUUUGACCGUGCAUAUGGCAUGUCAAACUCAUCGCUAAAGGUGUGGUAUGGGUUUCACAUAGACAUUGAUAGCAAUUUCUAUUAUAUGCAGCGAUUUGGCCUAGAUUUGUACGGUUGUCUCAAAAGAUUACCUACCAUUCUUUCGGGGUGGUGUUUAUGCCAUGAUGGUAAGGCUAUGAUAGCCUGACAAUGAUACUUGACUGGUUCUAGAUCUAAAGGAAACUAAAAUUUUGGCCAAGAAAUUUUCACAGACGAUGCCAAAUAUUUGACCAAAAAAGUGUUAAAUCUUUUAGUUAAACUAAUUAAUCGAGAAAAGGAAGGUAAAUCUUAGCCAAACAUAAUUAACUCUAGAACCAAACAUAUUAAAUAUGCAAAUUGAAGGAGGCCAAGCCUCUAUAACAUUCCUUAAGAUGAUUAACAGACAUCAAAUGAAAAUGAUAAGCUUACAUCUUUGAUAUAUUUGUUUCGUACUUGUAAGAGCAAAGAAGGAAAAGAUGGCAAGUUGUUGAUAACAAUGAGAUCUAUCUUUGUUGAUUCAACAAUGAUGAUUAGAAAGGGUUGUAACCAAAAUCUGGACGGUUGGUUUGUUAUUAUGGAUCUCUUCUUAUUCUCAUCUUUGAUACAUUGCUCCUCUCUUUUUCUUGGAUAGGAGACCCUCCCCCCUC
rnacentral:lncRNA from 1 species